rnacentral:lncRNA from 1 species
CUGCUCCCGGUCAUCGUAUCGAUGGCGAUCCGGAACAUGACGGUGGCGACGCGGUCGCUGGACGCGGACAUGACGGUGGACGAGUUCAAGGAGUGGCUGCGGCGGUUCGACACGGACCGCGACGGUCGCAUCAGCCGCGAGGAGCUUCGGCGCGCCAUGCGCGCCAUCCGCGCGCGGUUCACGGGAUGGCGGAGCAGGCAGGGCAUCAGCUACGCCGACGCCGACGGCGACGGCUACAUCGACGACAGCGAGGUGGACGGCCUCAUCGAGUUCGCGCAGAAGAACCUCGGCCUCAAGAUCGUCGCCUACUGAUCAUGCAUCUCGCCGCCGGGGGGCGGAUCCCUUCGCCGGGCGCGCUUUGUCGGCAUGAGCUAGCGAAAUGACUCGCCAACCUUCUCCAGCAUCCCCCCGCUAAAAUAAGAACUGUUUGAUCGAUCGACCGCUUGUUGCUUAAAGCUUGCUUUCUUGUACGUACUCAAAUCAAUUCCUGCACUCUGUAUCUCUGUGUGUGUGAUCUAUAUGU